UUUCAUACACAAAUAUGUAUAAAUAUUUUUUUUUUUUAAUUAAAGUAAUAGAUCUCUACACUAUUUGCGUUUUAAUCGUCUCGGAUGAUUACCAGGAAUAAUUUUUGAGGAAAGACCUUUUACCAGGGGAUUUGAGUGAGAGAAUAGUCGCCAGUAUGGAGUGUGAAGUUGGAAAUCUAUGGAGGGGAGUUAGUUAGUUUUCUAAAGUGAUGAACGUGUUGAAGCUUUCGUGGAUUGUCCUAUUGCUUAAAAUUUUUACGGAUGUAUUUAUAAUUUAUUCAUUUUUAUUUAAAAUUAAAUAAAUAAUUAUUUUAUUUGUGAAAAAAAAAAUAUCUUUUAUUGUGUGUCGACCAGUGUUUUAAAAACAUUGUUUAUAAUUGCAUACAAAAUCGAUUAGUAAUAAUAUAAUAAAAAAAUAGUGUUUUGAAGUUUUCUGAACUAUUUAUUUCAUUUGUAACUUCAUACUUGAUUUUGUCUAAUGUUAAUAAAUAUAUAAUAUUGUUAAAUAAAUAUAAAAAAAAAUUUUUUUAAGUUUUUUUUUCAACUUAAUUUAUUAGUAUUUAGUCCUUUAAUAAUACUGUUAUUUAAUUACUUGAUAGUU